rnacentral:lncRNA from 1 species
GGCAAGUGAGCUUUUUUUAAAGCUCGGCAUGCGGGACAUAUUAAAUGUGCGGAAACGGAGCCCGUUUUAAAUCCGGGUAUAGCCCUGUAGCUGCUGCUGCUGUUUUUAACUCUGAUUACCCCCUACCUGGCGCGCCGUGCAUUUUGGGCGCGUGUGUGCCCGCUUGUGUACAUCCCCUCUCCCAUGAAUGAUAGUCUUAUCUCAUGCAUAUAAGAUAAUCGAGGCUUUCUCCCCUUAGAUGACUGCCCAACGCCGUCUCCUUUUAGCAAGAAGAAAUGAGCAAGAAUGUGGGUUUACUGAAUCAAACCGGGAACUGGAAAACGCGCGGUGUGCGUCCCGAAAGGGCAACAAGGUUUCUCUGCCUGUCAGUAAGGCCUGUUUGGAGGCCGCCAGGACCUCGCCCUGGUAGAGGGAGCAGACGGAGUCCAAUCUGGUUUGGCAGGAAAAUAUUUGCGCCCCAAAGAAACGAGGAGGGAAAUUGGUAGCAGUUACUUGUUAGUGGUGGCGGCGUGGUUUUGUAUCCUCUAGCGUCAAUAAGGCAAUGGGGGUCGAGGUGCAAAUAUACUAUCUAGAGCUCCCUAGGUUAAGAUAAACUUCAUUGUGUUGCAGGCUCCCAAGGCGUGGGUGAGGUCUCUGAGGUGACCUUCGGGGAGCCUCGGUGUGUUGCAGGGGCUCGGAUGCGAUCAAUAGGUUUGACUUGAUCAGCUAAGGAGCCGGGGGAGGAGAGGAGCUAAUGAAGUAAAUGCAAAGAUCACUAUCUCCUCCGCUACUCCUCCAAAAGUUUGUGAGGUUCCCCCCCCCCCUUCCAAAUUUCCGCAGAGGAGCGGUCGCCUCUUUUGAAGUGUAAAUGUCCCGAGUUGGGAGGUGAGCGAUGAAUAGCGGGGACAGGAGACCCUCUUUGAAAAAGGAGAAAGAAGAUUCAUUUAAAGUAAAAACGGGGAGAAGCAGCCAAGCCUGACAGGCCGCGAGCGGGACUUGGGGAGUUUUCCCAAAGAUAACAGAGAGGGGGUGGUGGAAGGGAGGGGAGGGGGGUUCUUUAUAGUUAUUGAAAUCCAGUCCUUCCAUCUGUUUGGGGAAGGAAGAAGGGGAAACGGUUUCAGGGAUCCUACUUGAGGAACAACCAACCCCCCAACCCCCUCAGGCUGAUAGGGAUUGUUGUGUGGAUUUGAUUGUUGACAAAGCAAUUCCUCCAGGAAGUCUUUCUCGGAGAGGGGCAGGGGGUGACACUUCGGAUGUGCCGUGAGAUUAGAGGCUCUCUCUAACAACUCUUUGGAUGCCCGGAGAGCACAACUGAUAUACCUAUUCACAGAUAAAGAUGGCAACCGCAGCGAUCUGCUUGUUUUCAGGGCCGUAAAUAUACACAUAUAUAAUAUGGUUCUCGCGUUGGGAUGUUUUAUAAGACCUACGGCUGCAGUUAAAACAACAUUCUCUAUCCGAUACUUCAAUGGGAUUUGGUGGCAUCUGCGGCUCUGCACGACCUUCUUGCAGCCGCUUCGCUUCUCUCUUGUUGGGGAGCCCGUCACUCCGUGGAGAAGGCAACGUGGGGACGCCUUUUCUCUAGGUUUGCAUUUUUGCACCUGCCCACUUUCCACCCAAGCAUUGGGCUCUGGGCGGGAGAGGCUUUUCUCCCUCCUCCUCCUGUAGAACCUCGAUAAGGAACAGGCCCUCCCCCGCUUCCACUGCCUCGUUCCCACAAUCAGAACUAUUGUCUCCUAAAUAUAGGGUCAGCCUAUAAACCUGCUGGAAGACAGAAUGAACUCCCCUGUGCGCUAAUGACGAGGCGGGGAGGGCGGCGAGGGCCUUGCGGGGAGAGGCAAACAAUAACCUCCUAGGAACAGAUGCACCCCCCCGGGGGGGUGCUGCGAAGGAAAGAGCAUGGGGGGGUUAUAAAAUGGGUCGGCUGGGCCUAAGUCACCGCUGUUAGUUGAUGUCCGAAGUGGGGUUUAUACUUCAUGGGUUGUGGCCUGCUUCUUGCAGAUGAAAUAUGUCUUCCAUAUGUCUGGAAGAAAUAGCACGAAAAUACCAGAAACUACCUUGUUUCAUUUCCAGUAAAAAGGUGUGUGUGGAUUCGGUAUAAUUUAAAUAAAUUCUCUGCGCCUUUUCUGGAUCCCUUCCCGAUACAGUCGGGUGUGUGUGUGUGUGUUUGUGUGUGCAUCAACUCCUGGGGGGGGGGAGGGGAGAGAUUAAGUUAAAAUCCGGUUACUUUGAAACUUUUCGCUAGGUCUGGCGAUGGAAGCUGCGCAGAAAGCAAACCGCGGAGCGCCAUCUACAGGCGCAACCGGGAAAGGGGAUUUCACCGCCUUCCCCUUUCUCUGUAUUCGUUCCGGAUUUGCUUCAGAGCAAAUCAUGUUUUCCACCUGUAUUCUGAGCAGGGUCCCAGGCACACUAGCACAGCCUACCUCUGCCAUCACCCAGGCUCCAACUCCACCCUGGUCGGGAGCGGCGAGGGAGGCAUUCCUUCUUUGAUCUACAGCUUCGGCUGCUCUCCUCAAAGGAGUUGGAAAAAGUCUGAGGUGGGGGAAGGAAAUUCAGUCUGGGAUCGAGGUGGAGUGGGGGGAGGCGAACAGCACAAUAUCCAACGGCUGGGAGGGGUGAAACAAAGGCCGUGGGGUGGCGAGGAGAGACAGCGUGCGUAAUAAAAUAAUAUAUUGCAUUGCCGGUACAAAAAUUAUAGGCGAACUCCAAAAAUAUUAUAUUGGAUAUGGCCAUAAUUAACCAACGACUCCCACGGCCCAGUUAUUCGAAUUUUAAGCCUACUUAUUCCCAUCGAUUACAAGAGCGUUGUGCACAUAUUAGAACUGCCCUCGAACCAUUUCCUAGAAUAGGCCCGUGGCAAACCGAUCUCUGAUCCAGUGAAGCAGAAGGACGAGAAUUUGGCGCGGGCACUUUCUCUGCUGUGUGACGCGGGCGAGGAGAGUCCUCAGAAAACCCGUCCAGCGAUUUUGUUUUUGAAAAAUAAUAAUAAUUUAAGCCGCCGAACACACAAGCGGGCCGAAAAUGUCCAGAAAAAUAAAGAGAGAGGCGCUUUUGUAAACACAGAGCGGGAAAAGAGACGAAGAGAAAAGGGAGAGAACAUCAGCUUAAGUGCCAAUUUGAUUUAUGAGAUGGAGGAAAAUAUUUCAUCAAGGAGAUCCUUGGCUUAACUGGUUAUUAAACAAAGAGGUUAGUUUGUGACAGAUAAGCGGAGAGGUGGGAAGGAUGGAUCAAAAAAGGCAGAGGAAGACGGAGCGGCGCUUCGCCUAAUGAUACAAGCCGAGGAAGGCAACAAAAACCCGAGCUAAUAUUCACAUCUGUCUGUUUAUUAAUCUCAGGUUGGUUCCCGACUCUCUUUCGUCAGUUUCCUGCGCGUGUUUUCUGAUGCCACCUCUUUCAGUUUUUGCCAGUUUUUGAAAUCCAUAUACUAAUACAUAUCGU